UAUUAUUGAAUUAUCCUAUUCUUUAAAUAAAACUAUUCUUUCGCCAUUUUCUAAAGAAUACCGCGUGUUCUUUGCAAUAUGUGGCAUACGCCAAUUUUUUUGGGUCCUCUAAUCGGAGGCAC